CCUACGGGAGGCAGCAGUGAGGAAUAUUGCGCAAUGGACGGAAGUCUGAAGCAGCGAUGCCGCGUGCGGGAAGACGGCCCUAGGAGUGGUAAACUGCUUUUGUACAAGGGAAAAGCUGAAUACGUGUAUACAGCUGAAAGUACGGUACGAAUAAGGAUCGGAUAACCCCGUGCCAGCAGCCGCGGUAAUACGGAGGAUACAAGCGUUAUCCGGAUUGAUUGGGUUUAAAGGGUGCGUAGGCGGAUUGAUAAGUUAGAGGUGAAAUGUCCGAGCUUAACUCGGGAACUGCCUCUAAUACUGUUGAUCUAGAGAGUAGAUGCGGUAGGCGGAAUGUAUGGUGUAGCGGUGAAAUGCUUAGAGAUCUUGCAGAACAUCGAUUGCGAAGGCAGCUUACUGACCUAUAUCUGACGUUGAGGCACGAAAGCGUGGGGAGCAAACAGGAUUAGAUACCCCUGUAGUC
rnacentral:rRNA from 1 species